UCUGAUCUCAGAUCAAGCAAGAAGACCCGCCGAAUUUAAGCAUAUAAUUAAGCGGAGGAAAAGAAACUAACCAGGAUUCCCCUAGUAAGGGCGACUGAAGCGGGAAUAGCUCACGAUGUGAAUCAGCGCUGCUUUGUGGCGCCGAAUUGUGGUCUGAAAACGUUUGCAUUAC
rnacentral:rRNA from 1 species